GAUAUUUUGUUUAAAAAAAUAAAAAUCUCUAUACAUGAGAUUAGGUUUAAAGUGUUCUAUUAAGAUUAUUUUCUUAUCUGAACACUCCUUAUCUUGUACAGAUUUUGUGUCAUCUAUCUUUUAGUGUUAGUGUAUGAUUAUGAUUUAGGUUUUUUUUUUAAUUUAUUAACCACCAAUCACAUUAAUAGAAUUUACUUAAAAUAAUAUCAGAUCAGGAGAUGAUCAUGAUCCCUUAGCUCUACAGCCAAGGCCGUAGCAAGAUAAGCAAUUAAUUAGUAAUUAAUACGAAUUAAUUAACGGAAUAAAUUUAUAAUUAAGCAUCCACCGGGCUUCAGAUGCGCCUGAAGUAAUGGAAUGCAUUAUCUCUAAAACAGCAGUGAUUUGUUGGCAUGAGAGGGAGGACGGCCCCGGAGCUUGCGUGCGAGUUCUUGAAAGGAAAUAAUGAUAAAUAUCUUUUUCACUCGAUUUUAUACUUAAAAGCGUCCAGAUUCUAUUGGAUAAAAGAGAAUCGAUUAUUGAUCUAAUUCGUAAUGCUGAAAUAAUUUAUAUAAUUAUAGAUAUUUAUAUUCCCUUUCGUAGUUGGCGGGUCUUCAUCGAAUUCUUGAGUGAUUUGAUUCAGCAUUGGCAGACUAAGGGAACUGUCGCGUUCAAACGUAAAUAUGGAAAUUAAACCAAAGUUAAUUAAAUAAGUGUGUUUGAGAAAUAAACGAGUACCUGAGAAGAAACAACACGGCCUUUACGCUUUCCAUUUAGAAUCUUCUUUGAGUGACAAUGCAACAGAGGGCAAGACUGGCAUUCAGUCAAUGAAUGAAAAUAAAAUAAUUUCUCGCAAAAACAGUCACAAAUUUUGAAAAGAGAGGAACCACGCGGUGUACAUUUGUCUAUAAUAAUUUGCAAAUUAUUUAUAUAAAAAAAUAAAAAUCCGCAAAUUUGAAAAGAUAGCAACCACGGAGUUUGAAUGAUAGAAUUAUUAAAGAUAUAAAAGAAUUUAAAAAAAAUUAAUGAAAUCUUAGAAAAUUAUAUAUAGUUGCUCUUUUAACUCAAAAUUAUAAAAGUUAAAAGUUAUUUGCAUAAAAAUUAAGAAAAAAAAUUUAAAUGAGUUGAUAGGAUUUCUUUAUUUUUAUUUUUAACUUUAAAAAUUUUAAAAGAUAAGGAUAGGUAGGUUAAACUCUAACUAAUUUGUUAGCCUUCAUCAUUUUAUGUCCUUCAUGAUUUGAAAACUACUCAGUCAAGUCUUUAUAGACUAUCUAACCAUAAAUAUCUUUUAAUAAAAAUUGUUAUAGAUUAAAUGAAGGAAUGUAAAAUUAUUUUUGAUUUUUGAGUAAUUAUAGAAUCUUAAAAGUUUUAUUCUAAAUAAUGUGGCAUAUGAGGUAUUAUUUAAUGACUCGUCGAGAAUUAUUUAUAAAAUUUAAGUGAAUUAAUUAUAAUUAUCUGAUCAUUCAAAAUAAUAAACGAUGCCUCAUUUAAAAUGAAUUUUUGAGAUAAAUAUUUACUACGCUUAAUUUUAAAAUGAAAAUUUUAAGUUAUAAUAUAUGUGCAUAAACAAACUCAUUUUCCUUUCAUUUAGAGCAGAUUGUUUUGACUUUGUCAAGGACAUUAUUAAGCAUUAAAUGAGAAAUCCAUUCUCACGGAUAUAGAGGGCACAUACAUCCGCCCACGGCCCACCCUCAUUAAAAUUUGGAAAGUCUUUUGGGAAGUCAAAACUCUGUGGGCUUAAAACCCAAACUCUCAACGUAGUUAGGUGACGUGGCAUGUGGGCUACCACUCAAGGCCCGGUGGCCUACACUCAUUUAUACUAAAUUCAGCCCCCCGCUUUAAAGGGGAAAAACAUGAAAAUAAAGAAAUUAUUUUCUUUUGAAAGUUAAAAAAUCAUUAAUUCAUUAUAAUUUAUAAAGGUCAAAGAAUGGUUGCCCUCGCCUGACCUUCUAGAACCCGGGGACCGGGUUUGCCGCCGAGUCUUGGCCCAGCGGGAUAAAUCUUCUGUCUCUUACGUUGUUUUGUUUAAUUGUUUUGUUUUUGUUUUUUCACCAACACACACGUGAUUUUUUGAAAUUUCAUCGCAUCACGCGUCGAAAUUUGAAAGAUGCUGAUGCAGGGCAAGAAAAUGAUGAAAUUCUAUUUAGAUAUUAUAGUUGCAUUUGUUUGCUUAUUUAAAGAUUUAUUAUAAGUUAUAUCUUAUUUGAGUUGUAUUCUUAAUUUAAGUAUGAGUCUUAUUAAAAUUAAGUUUUCUAAUUAAAUUAAGAUAAAUUGUAGUCAAUAUA
rnacentral:lncRNA from 1 species